GAACGCUGGCGGCGUGCUUAACACAUGCAAGUCGAACGAUGAACCGCUUUCGGGCGGGGAUUAGUGGCGAACGGGUGAGUAACACGUGGGCAAUCUGCCCUGCACUCUGGGACAAGCCCUGGAAACGGGGUCUAAUACCGGAUAUGACUGUCCAUCGCAUGGUGGAUGGUGUAAAGCUCCGGCGGUGCAGGAUGAGCCCGCGGCCUAUCAGCUUGUUGGUGAGGUAGUGGCUCACCAAGGCGACGACGGGUAGCCGGCCUGAGAGGGCGACCGGCCACACUGGGACUGAGACACGGCCCAGACUCCUACGGGAGGCAGCAGUGGGGAAUAUUGCACAAUGGGCGAAAGCCUGAUGCAGCGACGCCGCGUGAGGGAUGACGGCCUUCGGGUUGUAAACCUCUUUCAGCAGGGAAGAAGCGAAAGUGACGGUACCUGCAGAAGAAGCGCCGGCUAACUACGUGCCAGCAGCCGCGGUAAUACGUAGGGCGCAAGCGUUGUCCGGAAUUAUUGGGCGUAAAGAGCUCGUAGGC
rnacentral:rRNA from 1 species